rfam:Brachypodium distachyon strain Bd21 chromosome 3, whole genome shotgun sequence.
AUACUACUCCCUCCGUCCCAUAUUAAGUGCCGAAAUAUUACAUGUAUCUAGACGUAUUUUAGUAUAUAGAUACGUCCAUAUUUAGACAAAUUUGAGUCACUUAAUAUGGGACGGCGGGAGUACCAU